rnacentral:rRNA from 1 species
GGGGUGACGAUGUAUUGAAAGCACCGCGCACUGACGGAAUAGUGCGUUAAAGGCUGUAUCUAUAGGACCUGUAGGCAAAUCCGCAGGACCUGGAGAAGGUCGAUAGUACCAAGAGUCUUCGGACAAUUGGAUAGUGUGCCUAAAAGCAUCCAAGAAAAACCUCUAAACUUCAGGUAUAAACAACGCGUACCGUAAACCGACACAGGUAGAUGGGAUGAGAAUUCUAAGGCGCUCGAGUGAUUCAUGGC